rnacentral:rRNA from 1 species
UACGAAGGGGGCUAGCGUUGUUCGGAAUCACUGGGCGUAAAGGGCGCGUAGGCGGCUUUAUAAGUCGGGGGUGAAAGCCUGUGGCUCAACCACAGAAUUGCCUUCGAUACUGUAUGGCUUGAGACCGGAAGAGGUAAGUGGAACUGCGAGUGUAGAGGUGAAAUUCGUAGAUAUUCGCAAGAACACCAGUGGCGAAGGCGGCUUACUGGUCCGGUUCGUGACGCUG